rnacentral:lncRNA from 1 species
CUCCUCUCUUCUUCCCUCUCCCCUUAUCUGUCCUUCCUUCCCCUCUCCUUCCUUUCCUGCUGCCCCCUCCUCUUUCCCUCUUCUUGCCUUCUCUCCUCUUUCUCUAAUGCCCUCCUCUUGCCUUCUCUUCCUCUCUCUCUCUCUCUCCUUUUCUUUUUCCCUUUUUCUCUCUUCCCUCCACUGCACUCUCAUUUCCUCACCCAUACUCUCCUUUCUUCUCCCUCUCCCUCCUACAACAGGGAAGGCAAAGCAAAUUAAUAUGCUAAUAAAUCACUAGGCUAUGUUUAGACAAUCUACUUUUUCCUUCCUGUGAGAUACAUAGUCUGGUUAUUAGAAAAAUUUCUCAGUAAUGGGCGGGGACUUUCCUACCCUCUCUAUAUGUUGUAUUUUCAGUUUUUCAGAGGAAAAUGCAAGGGCUCGUUAUAAGCAAAUGACAUUUUGCCAGUUGGUGAUUAAAAUUUAUUUAGAAUCUAAAAUUCCUAUAACCCAUUCCCUUUUUCCUAGAUCAGAACUUUUCCCUCACUGUUAAACUCACAAAGGUAUAGAAGGCAAUCUAAAUCAUGUGCGGUAGCAGAAGAACUUUAGUAGUUUUCUGUUAUAUGUGUUUGCAGGUCAAUUUGCUCAAUUGUCUGAUUGUUUACAUGAGGAAUUUCUGAGUUUCCUGUAAAACAUGAAAAACCCAAAGUGACUUGAGUCAUAUUGACAUCAUUGACCACAUAACAACAUCAUUGAUGUCAUGAUGACUCUGGAAAACGGGAACAGGCAUUACAAAAUCUCCAUUUAAAGACAAAGCUUUCAUAUACCAGGGUUUCUUUCUAUAGUACAAGGUACGAUGUACAUGCCCUCUUUUACCAUAACAACUUACAACAGAAAAUUUUUUUUCUUAAUAUUAAAAAUGACUAUCAACAGGGAUAGUGUAGAGCUGAUGUUUGGAGAUGUCACUUCAAGAUCCUCUUCUGGGAUUUGUCCUUUUUCCUAUGUUUGUCUGGCAAAGUAUUUUCUAGUGUCACUAAUAAACGGUGUAAAAUUUCCCAUUUUGGAAGUGUCCAGUAUGGGUCCACCAUUUUGCCAGUCGUUUGAAACUUCUCAUAGCUUACAGUAUGACAGACACCAAAAUAUAGCAAAUUCCUAAAUUGUCUUAACCCCACAUCGCAGGCAGGGGAAAAGAGUUCACUAGACUAGGAUCUGAAGAAUGGUGCAAUAUGUCCCCAAAAGCCAAAGAAAAGUGCUUCUGAGGGGCUCUGAAUCUAGACAAGGAAGAUGCAGAGUAUUAGAUAAGAAUAAGAGCUAGUAAGAAACAGAAAAGGACAAAUGCAUUUGAAAUUUUAACUUGUCUUCAUGUAAGAAAAUAGUGUCCUCUAUAGAAAUAUUUUUGUAAUUUAGAGGAAAAAUAUAAUUAGUUAGCAAAAUACAAAUUUUCAAAACUGACCAAAUAAGAGAAACACUUGAAGAAAACAAUUCCUUUAGAGGAGAUUAAAAAUGCAUUUAAAGAGUUAUUGUAUAAAAGGAAACAUCCCCACUGCCAGGAAGUACAGAAAAAAAAAUAGAAGGCAACAUUACGUUUGAAAAGUUUUGCAUAUGAAUUCUAGCACAGCAUUAAAGAUUAGGAGAACCUCAUGUUAUUCAAACUAUUCCAGAUCAUACAAAAAGAUGAGCUUUCCUGUUCAUUUUCUGAAAUUAUGCUAAUUUCAGUUCCAAAGCUUGAUUAAGAAUAGGAGUGUAAGCUUCAAAAUACUGUUUCAAUUAAAAAAAAAGUUGAUAAGGAAUUGUAUCACAUCUAUUUUCCUCAGAGCUAAUUAUUAUUAUUUAUUUCAGAUAAACAGGUUUUAUUUUCACCUUGAAAGAGUCUGUUUUUUUGUUUGUUUGUUUGUUUUUGAGACUGAGUCUCGCUCUGUCACCCAGGCUGCAGUGCAGUGGCGUAAUCUCGGCUCACUGCAAGCUCCGCCUCCCGGGUUCACGCCAUUCUCUCCCCUCAGCCUCCUGAGCAGCUGGGACUACAGGCGCCCACCACCAUGCCUGUCUAAUUUUGUUUUUGUAUUUUUAGUAGAGACAGGGUUUCACUGUGUUAGCCAGGAUGGUCUCGAUCUCCUGACCUCGUGAUCAGCCCGCCUUGGCCUCCCAAAGUGG